UACGAAGGGGGCUAGCGUUGCUCGGAAUCACUGGGCGUAAAGCGCAUGUAGGCGGAUUGUUAAGUCAGGGGUGAAAUCCUGGAGCUCAACUCCAGAACUGCCUUUGAUACUGGCGAUCUCGAGUCCGGGAGAGGUGAGUGGAACUGCGAGUGUAGAGGUGAAAUUCGUAGAUAUUCGCAAGAACACCAGUGGCGAAGGCGGUUCUCUGGGACGGUACUGACGCUGAGACGCGAAAGCGUGGGGAGCGAACAGG
rnacentral:rRNA from 1 species